AUUUUUUUCCAGAUUAUGCCUCAAUCACUUUGAUCAGUGAAGGUUAAAAGUCAAAAUAAUGGUGCAAUAAUUUUGUAGCAAGAGAGGCUUGACAGAUUAGAAAGAUUGAUCACACCAAGUCAUACUAAGCAAUAGUUCUGCAAAUUCUAUGAAAGCUGAAGAUGAACAAGAGAAGAUAUAAAUGAUCUCAUCAAUAGCAAGUAGGUUUAGUGAAAAGGCUAAAGUUAACAGAAAAAAGAAUAUGAAUCCCUGCAUAAUACAAUAGAAAGAAGGUAAUCAACUUUAACCAUCUUGAUAUUCACUUUGACAUUUAGAACAUGAAAGAAAAGAAACAGUAAUGGCUAUAAUAAUCAAAGCAUUAUUGAGUUCUUGUUUCAAUAGUGAAAUUUUCGUGUUCAACUAAAAGCCUUUUUCUUUUUCUUUCUAAAUCACUCUCCAUAUUUCUCUUCUCAAUUAUGGAACUCAUUUUUGGUAAACCUUCUCAUGUUUUUAGAUGUAUUGAACUUGAUAGAAUGAACAUGGUGCACAGUCUGAAUACUGACUGAAACAUGUUCAUAUGGUUUUUCACAGGGAUAUAGGGAACUUGUCGAUUAGAUAUUGGUCAUAUAUCGCUAUCGGAGCUACUUUAGAACUCUUUACAGUAGCCAUAAUGAGCACAUUUUGUUGUUCAGCAAUACUUGAUGUACAGGUAUGGAGAUUAGGGGAGCACAAAAGGGGACUUGGCCCCUCCAAACCUACCAAGAUUGCUAAGUUUCUAUUUGAGUUAGAAUGAAUAAAAUUGAUAAAAUGUGUAUUGUUUCCUAAUUGGAUCUAUUAAUGCUUUAAUUGAACCAUCACAAUUGGUAAACCUGUCUUCUAACUGGUUAUUUCCUUAAGGUACUGUUUUGUGCCUUAGCUAAAACAGUGCAAUAAAUGUUCAUUAGCAGUCCAUUAAGUUUCAUAUCUUGGUUUGUCAGAUACUUACAACAGCCUGAAUCCAUUCAACUCUUAUCUCUUCUUUUUUAUACCCCACUUGAUGAAAAGCAUCAGCCUACCUUUGAGUACAAACAAACAAACAAAUCCUAUCCAUUGCUUGGACCUAGAAAUUACUUGAAACAUCUAGUGUUUAUUCAACUCUCAGGGAAAUACAGAAAUUAUAUUCCAGGGAUCAGGAAUUCAGGUUUUGCAAAAUGAUGAUGUCCCAGAAGGAACUUCACCAUAAUUGAUACUGAAAGCUCCAUGUAAAUGUUGGGUUUAGCUUUCAAGGGUGGUGAAGUCCAAGCAGAAAGUGGUAUUGAUUGAAGUAUCACAACUUGAUCAAAAGUGACACAGGAAAAUGACAUUGGAUAAUCUGUCACAAAACACAAUGGUGGUGCCAGGCAGCACAUGAAAAGGGCUUGACAUUCACUUACAAUAUUAAGAGGAUCCAAGCAUAUACAGGUCCAUAGAUUCUUGACUAGCCAUGUCCUUGUGAACUGAUGCUAGAAAUCAGAACAGAAGAUAGCAGGUUAUCUUUGAAACGUUCAACAGACAUGAUAAAGACACAAAGUCUGCUUUGCUUGUGAGUCAUUAGCACAUGUCGCUUUUCAAUAGAAGCAUGAACUCAAUAAAAAGAGAAGGCAUGUUUCAACAAAAUAUUCAUGCUCUAUGCCACGAUAUAAAAUGCGGAAAAAUAUUGAAGACUAACGACCAAAUGUAUAGAAAUUUCAUUCUUACAAAAGAAACGAAAAAUCAAUAAUCUAUGAUGUGUAUAUCCAAUAUAUUAUUAGUAUGUUUAGGAUUCAAUAAUUUCGAUCAUUCAAUUUAUUUUGAGUGGUUACGUGUAAAUUUAUAUGUUUCAGCUCCUCUAAGGACCAUUUCUAGUGUAUCAUUCAGAAAGAGAAGAGAGAAGUUCCACACAUUCAAGCUCCCAGUUUAGGCGAUUGGCAGAAGGCAUAUGAAACUAAGAAGAUUUACAACGGCAAAGCACUUGCACAGUGACGUUAAAAUGGUCACAACUUAGUAAUCUCAGCCUUAUUGUCAUGGAAUCCCUUCAGAUAGUUUGUCUUCAUUAAUCUUAUACGUCAACUGCUCAAAUGUGAUUUAUAAUCUCAUUGUUGGAACAAGAACUUCAGAUCCAAAUCACAAAAUAGGGCAAAGAUUACAGACAUCACCAUAUAAACAACUUUGAUACAGGCAAGUAGGUUUCCAUAACAUUAUAGAAGCCAUAUUAGUUGAUUCCAUUACAAGGUUCAGCAAUCAUGAUAAUGAUGGACGGGGGAUUCGCUUAGCGAUUUCCUCAAACAGCUGAUUUAUAUUAUCUGCAGUCUUGGCAGAAGUCUCAAUAAAGAACAUUCCAUUCUUCUCAGCAUAGUCCAUACCAUCUUGAACAGGUACUUCUCGAUUCUCAUGAAGAUCAGCCUUGUUCCCAACUAAAGCCAGGACUAUAUCAGGGCUCCCAUGUUUCUGUAGUUCCUUAACCCAAUAUUGUGCUUUGUUGAAUGACUCUGGGCUAGUUAUAUCAUAUACAAUAACUGCAACUGCAGCACCUCUGUAAUAUAGUGGUGCCAGUGCAGCGUAUCUUUCUUGCCCUGCAGUGUCCCAUAUUUCAAACUUAACUGUUGUAGAAUCUUGCAAAGCAAUUGUCUGUGACAAAAAUGAAGCUCCAAUAGUUACCUUGGAUGUUGGAUCAAAUUGUCCACGAACAAAACGUAGAACAAUACAGCUUUUACCAACACCAGAAUCACCUAACAAUACCAGCUUUACACGUAGGUUUUUGGCAUCAGGCACUCCAUUGCUCUCAGAAUUGUUAAGUCCACUCAACCUCCCAGAACUCCCACCUACAAAAUUACCCCAAAAGGACGAGGGAAAGAAGAAGAAAAAAUAAAGAAAGAAAAUUAGCAACAACUCUGAAAUGGGUCAACAAACACCACACGAGCUCUCAUCAACAAUUACAAGCUAAGCCAAAUUACCAAACACGAUCACACACACACAAUCCAUCAAACUAAGCACUAAUCAUCAGAUUGAUCACUAAAUUAGAAACAACUUAUCAACAACCAAAACCAAAUACCACUAAAUACAAAUCACUCAAUCAGACGCCAACCACACAAUUCUUUACAAAACCUAAAUCUUUUCCAGUUCAAAGAAAUUAAACAAAACUUCCAUAUAUCAAACAAAUUAAUGUAAUUGUAUUUCAAUCGACUAAAUUUGCAACAGUAAAACCCCAACCCAGAAUUACAAUUGAAUAGCUC
rnacentral:misc_RNA from 1 species